UCACACAGGCUAUAAAAUCUGUUAAUACUAAGGAUGCGAAUAACAUAAAGCAAAUUGAUAGAUUAUUAGAAUAAUGGCUGCCAGUGAAUCACUCCCCCCGCUGUUUGCAUACACUUGUGUAGUCCACUCCCACACUGAUUCGGAGCUUGGCCAUGUGAUUGGCUUUAGCCAGUUAAUCAUUAGCAAAUGUGACACAACUUGUGCUAACAGAACUUGUGCUCUGAGACCAGUGUUCUUGUAAUGCUGAUACUGUGUGAAGAAGUCUGGACUAAAUUGCCGGAGACACAUGACCCAGCUGACUGCCACCAUGCACGUCUAGGCAAGUCUAGCUCCACGGUGAGAGCCUAUCAAACUAGUAAGUCACGCGUGACCAUGAGCCCUGGCUUCAGCUCUCAGUGGAACAGCAGCCAACCAGCCUGGAAUACAUACUCCUUUCCAAGAGCAAGCUUGCACUAUCAGUCCCAUGCCAGCUACACCUAUUGUACUGGACACCCUGCUGUAAGUACCCCGUUUUUCUGUAUUUAGCAAAUUGGAUGCUUUAUGCAGGUACAUUUGGAACCCAGACUUGGUAUCUGGCUAUUAAUUGGGCAAUUUCUCCAAUGCUGUGACCCUUGUAAGGCAAGAAUAUGCUGCUGUUGAGUAAGAGAUGAACAACAGAGAACAUCUUAAGUUCAAAUGACAUGUGUUUGAAUGAUGCUGGCUGAACUUUGAUGUUGCAUUUAAAGGUAUUUCUAGGUGAAAUAGGUUGGCAGACCUUUUGGAGUGCGUUGGUGUGGAGGCUGAAUAUAUGUAUGACACUGGAUUUGUUUUCUGGCUUCCUUCUGGCUGUUGCCUAUGACUUUAGUUGGCUGAUUUUGCACUGGGAGAGGAUGUCUUUCAAAAUGGCCUGGAGGAGUCACUGGCGUCUGUAUGUCCCCACUUCUGUCAAUGGCCUUGUUGAUAUGGUUUAAAUAGGUAUGAACAUAGAGAUAUAAAUCCAUCAGUAGAGUAAUUCCCAGUUACUGCUACACAGAAUCUGAGCUUGUUGGCAUAGAUGACUCAAAGGGCAGGAUGGAUAAGCCUUUAGUGGGGAGGAGUAAACUCAUGGGAUUUGAGACCCUUUUAGAAUAAGGUACCUGUUUCUGCCAUUGUGUUUUCCUGCAGCUCAAUCCAGUCCUCAUAAACUAAGAUUUUUGUUAUCACAAAUUAUAGUUGUGUAACUGGAAGAGAUUAUGAGGCAUGUGAUAAGUAAACCUCUGUUUACUGCUAAAAAUUCCAACAUAAGGCUUGAGUAGUGAGAGACCUUCAGAAGGGAGUCACGUAUGCUUCUCAUAGUAGCCCCUUUCCUUGUCGGUAACUAGAGGUGCGGUUUCUCCAGCCAUCCCAAAGGGCCGCCGUAGACGCCUGCUCUUGGGCUAUCCUUUUGGCAUUUCAAGGUUAUGGAAUUAAAGAGUGUCCUGAGCUUCAAAAUGAGAGAAUGUAUCUUAAAUAUCGUGUCAUAAAGUCACUUUAAAGAAGAUUCAAAGAAUCUACUCAAAAGGUAAAUUGGUAUAACUUUGUUAAAAGGUGAUUUGGAAAUAACGAUCAAAAUUUAAAUUGCAUAUACCUUUGACUCAGUAAUUAAACUUUUGGCACUUGAUUGGACAUGUACAAGGAUGUAUGUGCAAGGACAAUGUAGCAACAUUUUUGAAAUUACAUGGAA